rnacentral:rRNA from 1 species
UGGGGAAUUUUGGACAAUGGGCGAAAGCUUGAUCCAGCAAUGCCGCGUGUGUGAAGAAGGCCUUCGGGUUGUAAAGCACUUUUGUCCGGAAAGAAAUCCUUGGCUCUAAUACAGUCGGGGGAUGACGGUACCGGAAGAAUAAGCACCGGCUAACUACGUGCCAGCAGCCGCGGUAAUACGUAGGGUGCAAGCGUUAAUCGGAAUUACUGGGCGUAAAGCGUGCGCAGGCGGUUUGCUAAGACCGAUGUGAAAUCCCCGGGCUCAACCUGGGAACUGCAUUGGUGACUGGCAGGCUAGAGUAUGGCAGAGGGGGGUAGAAUUCCACGUGUAGCAGUGAAAUGCGUAGAGAUGUGGAGGAAUACCGAUGGCGAAGGCAGCCCCCUGGGCCAAUACUGACGCUCAUGCACGAAAGCGUGGGGAGCAAACAGGAUUAGAUACCCUGGUAGUCCACGCCCUAAACGAUGUCAACUAGUUGUUGGGGAUUCAUUUCCUUAGUAACGUAGCUAACGCGUGAAGUUGACCGCCUGGGGAGUACGGUCGCAAGAUU